AUCACCUUUAAGCUCUCUCACUUCAUUGUCACCCAUCAGUUAGUCAUAAGUCCUGUUAUGGUAGUUUUUACCCAUAGGAUGACCAUAGGCUAUAAUAACACUAAAAAGGGGUUUGUACAUCAUAAAGUAAUUCAAAAGCAAGAUAACUCCAAUUGUCAUAUGACAGUGUGACUUGUCUCUUGUCAAAAUAAUAUUUAAAUGACUAGUGGUCUUUAUUUUAUGUUGAAGUCCAUAACUACAAAUUCUGCAUAAUUUAUAUUCAUAAUUUAUAUUCCAACUUGAUUUCAUACCUUCCACUUAGCCAUUGGUUUUAGUUUGUUUCAGUAUGGUCUGAGAAUCAGUUCACAUGGCCUUGAAACUUAUUAGAGGUAGAUAUUCCAUCCCAGUGAGCGUUUAAUUGCCCACAUAUUUUUUCGCAGUUACAUAAUUUGUUAGCAUUAUAGUGUAGGGAAUUACAUUACAUACGUAAGUGUUUAUGUAGUUGAAAGCAGCAACUGUCAUCCUCUACUCUGUGGAUGCACCAUCAAAGUGGCCUGGAGCCGACAGCAGUGUACUGUCCGGAAUAUGGGAGGUACUCCGGAGUUGUCAAAAAAGCACUAAGCUUGUCUAUUAGAUGCAAGAGGCGUCACUUGGGAUUAUUUUCAUUGAGCAAGGGUGCUGUUGACUCUGAGUAUUUUUGUUUGCUUUCUGGAGAUCCCGAAAAGGAGUUUUUUUGUUGAGCCAACCUGAAUAGGCUGAAAAAGGGCAGCUCAGUGGUAAGCAUUGUUGCCUCAAGGUAAGAGCGUCCUGGGUAUGCAUCUGCUGGCCAGCUAAGGUUUUUCUACUGGCGACCCAUCCAGGUGUACCAUGCCUCUCACCCAGCGUAAGCACCAGGUUCAUUCUGAGAAUCAACCCUGAUGGCUCCAAAUUCCAAUCAACAUCACAGGUCAGCUGGAAAUCUGGGGAGAGGGUCCAAAUAAAAAGCAACAGCCUGAAUCCCCUCAUGACAGCUCUCAUUAGAGAGCUUGUCGACUUUGAUUGGCAAAAUUACUGAAAUGUAACAUAACAACAACAACACUAACAUAUUUUUUUAUUUAUUUUUGUAAUGCCUGUUUUGCUUUUCAGCAUGUAUAAGUUUACAUUUUAGCCAUGAUAGCAGCUAAAUGGCUAAAAGCAGUUGGUCCACCACUUUGGUCCAGAGUGAAAUAUCUUGACACCUAUUGGAUGGGUUGCCAUGAAAGUUUGGUACAGAUAACCAUGGUCCCCAGGGGAUGAAUUCUAAGGACUUUGGUGAUGCCCUGGUUUUUCAGCUAGUGCCACCUGCAGGUCAAGAUUUUUAGUUAUAGAGUAAAAUAUCUCAUACCAUUAGACGGAAUGGCACAAGACUUUGAACAGACAAUAACGGUCCAAAGAGGAGGAAUCCUACUGACUUUGGUGAGUUAAAUGUCUCAACAACUAUUGGAUGGAUUACCAGGACAUUUAGUAUUGUGCAGGCAUUCAAGAUUCAAGAUCUUUUUUAUUAUCGUUUUACAACACAAGGUUGCACAACGAAAUGAAGUCUGUAGUCUAUGCCACUCACAAAACAGAAACCACACAAAUGGACCAACAAAAAGUCACAAAAACAAAACUAUUUUUUAUGUUGUAGUGCAGAGGAUGAAUUGAGGAGUCUCACAGCCUGAGGAAAGAAGCUGCUCUGUAGUCUGGUGUUAUGACAGCAGAUACUUCUGUAUCUCUUGCCAGAUGGCAGCAGGGUUAACAGGCUGAGGCUGGGGUAGGUAUAUAAACCAAAUUACAUACCCAUCAAUUUCAGCUAUACUUUGUGUUUGACGCUAAUUGGCAAAUGAUAGCAAGCUAACUCACAAAACUGAAACAGUGAACAUGGUAAACAUUAUUUGUGCUAAAUAUCUACAGACAGGUGACUAAUUAAAGGAAAAACUGGUACAGGUCUGAAUGUUUGACCCCUACAGUGAGGGGAUCUGGUGGCUCUGUUAUUCUUUGGGGGGCAUUUUGCUGGCAUGGUUUGGGUCCACUUGUCUCCUUAGAGGGAGGGGUCACGGCAAAUCAAUACUAAGUUGUUCUGAGUCAUCACCUUUAUCCUAUGAUGAAACAUUUCCAUCCUGAUGGGAGUGGUCUCCUCCAGGAUGAUAAUGCCCCCAUUCAUAGGGCGCGAGGGGUCACUGAAUGGUUUGAUGAGUAUGAAAAUGAUGUGAAUCAUAUGCUAUGGCCUUCACAGUCACCAGAUCU